rnacentral:rRNA from 1 species
AAUAGAUACCCCGGUAGUCCACGCCGUAAACGAUGAGUGCUAAGUGUUAGAGGGUUUCCGCCCUUUAGUGCUGCAGCAAACGCAUUAAGCAUUCCGCCUGGGGAGUACGGCCGCAAGGCUGAAACUCAAAGGAAUUGACGGGGGCCCGCACAAGCGGUGGAGCAUGUGGUUUAAUUCGAAGCAACGCGAAGAACCUUACCAGGUCUUGACAUCCUCUGCCACUCCUAGAGAUAGGACGUUCCCCUUCGGGGGACAGAGUGACAGGUGGUGCAUGGUUGUCGUCAGCUCGUGUCGUGAGAUGUUGGGUUAAGUCCCGCAACGAGCGCAACCCUUGAUCUUAGUUGCCAGCAUUCAGUUGGGCACUCUAAGGUGACUGCCGGUGACAAACCGGAGGAAGGUGGGGAUGACGUCAAAUCAUCAUGCCCCUUAUGACCUGGGCUACACACGUGCUACAAUGGAUGGUACAAAGGGUCGCAAAACCGCGAGGUCGAGCCAAUCCCACAAAACCAUUCUCAGUUCGGAUUGCAGGCUG